GGUUGGUCUGAGUGUAGUGGUGUUUACAACUAAUUGAUCACAACCAGUUACAGAUUCCUUUGUUCCUUCUCCACUCCCACUGCUUCACUUGACCAACCUUAA
rnacentral:Y_RNA from 1 species